GACGAACGCUGGCGGCGUGCCUAAUACAUGCAAGUUGAGCGCUGAAGGUUGGUACUUGUACCAACUGGAUGAGCAGCGAACGGGUGAGUAACGCGUGGGGAAUCUGCCUUUGAGCGGGGGACAACAUUUGGAAACGAAUGCUAAUACCGCAUAAAAACUUUAAACACAAGUUUUAAGUUUGAAAGAUGCAAUUGCAUCACUCAAAGAUGAUCCCGCGUUGUAUUAGCUAGUUGGUGAGGUAAAGGCUCACCAAGGCGAUGAUACAUAGCCGACCUGAGAGGGUGAUCGGCCACAUUGGGACUGAGACACGGCCCAAACGCCUACGGGAGGCAGCAGUAGGGAAUCUUCGGCGAUGGACGAAAGUCUGACCGAGCAACGCCGAGGGAGUGAAGAAGGGUUUCGGAUCGUAAAACUCUGUUGGUAGAGAAGAACGUUGGUGAGAGUGGAAAGCUCAUCAAGUGACGGUAACUACACAGAAAGGGACGGCUAACUACGUG
rnacentral:rRNA from 1 species